ensembl:lncRNA
CUUCUCAAAUAGACAAUAGAUUUUCUAAUCUUAUUCUGUAACAGUGUCUCUGUUGUUCUCAAAAUGAAGGUCUCUGCAUGACUUAGUCUUCUUCUUAUAUCAGAAAUAGGGGGACAUUUGGGACCUAGAUUUAGUCUUCCAGCUGGUUAAUACUGGUUGUGUUGGUCUCUUCUUCUCCUCCAGCUGGUUAAUACUGGUUGUGUUUGUCUCUUCUCCUCCUCCAGCUGGUCCAGAGGUUAAUACCGGUUGUGUUGGUCUCUUCUUCUCCUCCAGCUGGUUAAUACCGGUUGUGUUUGUCUCUUCUCCUCCUCCAGCUGGUUAAUACUGGUUGUGUUUGUCUCUUCUUCUCCUCCAGCUGGUUAAUACUGGUUGUGUUUGUCUCUUCUUCUCCUC